rnacentral:rRNA from 1 species
GAUGAACGCUGGCGGCGUGCCUAAUACAUGCAAGUCGAGCGAACAGACGAGGAGCUUGCUCCUCUGACGUUAGCGGCGGACGGGUGAGUAACACGUGGAUAACCUACCUAUAAGACUGGGAUAACUUCGGGAAACCGGAGCUAAUACCGGAUAACAUGUUGAACCGCAUGGUUCAACAGUGAAAGACGGUCUUGCUGUCACUUAUAGAUGGAUCCGCGCCGCAUUAGCUAGUUGGUAAGGUAACGGCUUACCAAGGCAACGAUGCGUAGCCGACCUGAGAGGGUGAUCGGCCACACUGGAACUGAGACACGGUCCAGACUCCUACGGGAGGCAGCAGUAGGGAAUCUUCCGCAAUGGGCGAAAGCCUGACGGAGCAACGCCGCGUGAGUGAAGAAGGUCUUCGGAUCGUAAAACUCUGAUAUUAGGGAAGAACAAAUGUGUAAGUAACUAUGCACGUCUUGACGGUACCUAAUCAGAAAGCCACGGCUAACUACGUG